rnacentral:rRNA from 1 species
UACAGGGGGUGCAAACGUUGCUCGGAAUUAUUGGGCGUAAAGCGCACGUAGGCGGAUCGCUAAGUCCGGGGUGAAAUCCUGGAGCUCAACUCCAGAACUGCCUUUGAUACUGGCAAUCUCGAGUCCGGGAGAGGUGAGUGGAACUGCGAGUGUAGAGGUGAAAUUCGUAGAUAUUCGCAAGAACACCAGUGGCGAAGGCGGCUCACUGGCCCGGUACUGACGCUGAGGUGCGAAAGCGUGGGGAGCAAACAGG